UACGGAGGGUGCGAGCGUUGUCCGGAAUCAUUGGGCGUAAAGGGCGCGUAGGUGGCCCGGUCAGUUCGUGGUGAAAGCGCGGGGCUCAACCCUGCGUCGGCCAUGAAUACUGCCGCGGCUGGAGCACUGUAGAGGCAGGCGGAAUUCCGGGUGUAGCGGUGGAAUGCGUAGAGAUCCGGAAGAACACCGGUGGUGAAGGCGGCCUGCUGGGCAGUUGCUGACACUGAGGCGCGACAGCGUGGGGAGCAAACAGG
rnacentral:rRNA from 1 species